rnacentral:lncRNA from 1 species
AUAAAAGAUAACCUUUUGAAUUGUCCUUUUUGGGGUGUUAUGUAAGGUUGCUUGCUUGCCAGUAGUAGAGAAGAACCUGCGCGUGAGAUAGACGAAAUUUGAGUGGGAGAGAGCAAUGCACCGACAUCGUUUGGAUGAAAAGAAAAGUGGAUUGAGUCUGUAAACAGAGCAGGAAGAAGAUAAGAGAGAGGGGUUGGAGAGUGCCAUUCUUUGAUUGGAGUUUGG